rnacentral:lncRNA from 1 species
AAAUACCAUUGUUUGAGGAUUUUUCUAAAAAAAUAUUUUUAACUAUUCAACUCUACAAUGAGAUGGAGACCUUUGUCUUCCAACUUAAUUAGAGUUUCUUAUUAUAUUCACUGCAUUGUGUAGGAUCUGAGUUUUGUAUUUGUCACCCUCUAGAAUGCACAAUGCAGAAGUUCAGUGUUUCAGGAAUUUGGCAGAAACUGGCCCAGUGAAAGCAGGUCUUACAGCAUUCCCUUCUGCUCAAAGGGAGAACUGCCCAGUCUCCUUUCUAAGGCGAAUCAUGCCACCCGCACAUUGUCAAUCAUAUUGCUGCCCGUCACCUCUGAAUAAUUCUUUUUCUUUUUAUCAGUUAACGCAGCAUUUGUUAUCUAACACAAUUCCCAAAGGUCUUCUGAGCACUUCCUGGAGUUGUUAUGUGUGUGAGUCAGGAUAUCAGCAAACGUAUUUGGAGGAGGUUAACAAUUUGUUCUAAUAAAUUCAUCAAUUAAGCCCAGUAACUCCUGAAUGAGGGAGAAAAGAGAAUUGAAUCAAGUGAGUUAGACAGAUGCCUUAAAACUUAACUUUCAAAUGGAAUUGAUUCCUAUGGAAUGCAAAAUCCCUGCAAACACACUGCCAGAUGGAGAUGUGUGUGUUGGCCUCCACCACAUCAUCAACAUCUCUGCUCAAAUUCUAGUGAGCUCUGAGUGCUCCAUUACCCAUUGCAUUCUGCCCCAUUUGAUCCAGGCGCGUUUGCCACUUUGAUGCCUUCACAGUACAAACAAGGCUCGAAGGAUGUGAGACACAAAAUGAUCAGAAGGUAAACUAUUACCAAGAUGCAUCACCAUGUAUACACUAACGAUCUCUUGAGAGUUUUAGACAAUAAAUAGAAGAAACCACUAAACAAGUAGAAGCUUAGAGAGAGUGGAGAUAUUACUCAUUUCAAAGCAAUGAUUAAGAAGUGGAUGCUUUUUACUAGAAAAUGCUUUUUUGGAGCCUGACAACAAAUAAUUUUUGAAUAAAAAUGAGGUAAAUGUUUUCAAGACUUCAUAAAUUUAAAAACUCAUUUAAAAGUUUAUAAAAGUUUUUGUUGUGAAAUGCACAUACUAAUAUAUAUGCAUAUAGUUUAUUGAACAAUAAUAAAAUAUACCCUUCCACACAUUAUUAGACUAAGAGAUAAAAUAUUACCAGUAUUUUAGGAGCUCCAAGAGUGCACUUCAACACAAAUCUUUCUCUUAAACCCUGAAAUUUGUGUUAUUCUGUUGUUGUUACUAAUAAUUCUUACCUACUUGUGUCCAUGACUAUACAUUCCUUAGUUUUUCCUAUUUUUCAAAUUUAUAUAAAUGGACUUUGCUGAAGGAAGUCAUCUGUGAUUUCAGUCUUUCAGUCAAUUACGUGAUUAGGAUAUUCAUCCAGGUGGAUGUAUCUUACAGUAUUCCUUUUGAUUAGAAUGGAGUAUUACAUUGUGUGCAUAUAAUAAUUUUAUCUAUACCAGUGUUAGGAAACAUAUAGGUUGAUUCCUGUGCUUUGGUAUAAAGAAGAAUCCGCUGAGGAACAUUCCUGUAUUUGUGUCCUAGUGCUAUGGAAUACAAUGGCUGUUUUGUUUGUCACCGUUAGUAGUAAUACGAAUUUAUUUUCUAAAAGUGUUGUGCUGGUUUCAUACUGUCGCAGUUUGGAGUUCUCAAUACUUCACAUCAUCUACAACCCAACAUACUGUCUAAUUUUGUAAAUGUGAAUGGUGUGAAAUCACUUACUAUUGUGAUUUUAAUUUACCUUUCUUUGAUUAACCACGAGGUAUGUGGUAAUGUA